rnacentral:misc_RNA from 1 species
UGUGAGUGGUGUUUGGUUGUGUGUGUCGGCAGGCUCCGUGCUCCGCGCAUCGAACUGUCGACCCCACUCCUCUUCAAUCUCUCCCCUUGUGGUCGUUCUUCCCGAGGGGUGCAAUCGGGAUCCUGUGCUGCGUACCUAAACCGAUGGAAUUUUGGAUGUCUGGCCAUCCCUCGUCCGUCUCGUGCCCUGAGGGGCUACGUGGUGGACCUCAAUCUUGCCCGGUGUCCCGAGUGCGCCCCCGAAAAUCGGUGCGGCCAUUUCGGUGCACUGGUGCCGGAUCGUGCUUUCGGAUGCGGAAAGUUGUGCGGGCGCAGGGUCUCGGCCCCCGUUCGCCCGAUGCUAUGCAUUUUGUCCCUCGACGCGUACGAUGCUCGUGCCCUGUGUUGGCCCCUCCGCUGCCCAGGCAGCGUGCGGAUGCCCAUGCAGCGCCGACGUCGUG